AAAUUGAAGAGUUUGAUCAUGGCUCAGAUUGAACGCUGGCGGCAGGCCUAACACAUGCAAGUCGAACGGUAACAGGAAGCAGCUUGCUGCUUCGCU
rnacentral:rRNA from 5 species